rnacentral:rRNA from 1 species
UACGUAGGGUGCGAGCGUUGUCCGGAAUUAUUGGGCGUAAAGAGCUCGUAGGCGGUCUGUCGCGUCGAUCGUGAAAACUUGGGGCUUAACUCUGAGCUUGCGGUCGAUACGGGCAUGACUGGAGUUCGGCAGGGGAGACUGGAAUUCCUGGUGUAGCGGUGAAAUGCGCAAAUAUCAGGAGGAACACCGGUGGCGAAGGCGGGUCUCUGGGCCGAUACUGACGCUGAGGAGCGAAAGCGUGGGGAGCGAACAGG